AGGGCGCGGUCUGGAGGCUCACGGGAGAGAGGCUGUAGCCCUGGGCAAUCCCGGGGGUCGUUACAGGAAGGUAGGAAAAUGCCACCCUCAGGGCACUGGUUGGGCUAAAGGUGACACUGGCGUCUCACGGGCUAUGAAGAGUCUUGGAAUGCCUCUUAAUGCCGGGCAAGUCUCACAUGAAGCUACUCAUCAUUUGCUUCGUGUCCUCCGAGCUCCGAGAGUUGGCAAAGCUGAUGAAGGAGCAGUAGACAGCGACCCAAGCACACCACUUCAGCUAGGGAAAGACCGAUUUAAGGCUGCAAGGAAGGAGUCCUGGGAGCAUGGCUUUCCCUGAGCCAAAGCCGCGGCCUCCAGAGCUGCCGCAGAAACGGUUGAAGACGCUGGACUGCGGGCAGGGGGCAGUGCGAGCCGUACGAUUUAAUGGUGAGCGCCUUCGUCUUCAUUCCGGGUCCUCCUCCCGCCUCCUGAGAUCGACGGCCCAGUAACCCCCGCCUGGUGUUCCCCAGUGGAUGGCAAUUACUGCCUGACGUGCGGCAGUGACAAGACGCUGAAGCUGUGGAACCCGCUUCGGGGGACGCUGCUGCGGACGUACAGCGGCCACGGCUACGAGCUCCUUUGACAACAGUAGUCUCUGCUCCGGCGGCGGGGACAAGGCGGUGGUUCUGUGGGAUGUGGCAUCAGGGCAGGUCGUGCGCAAAUUCCGGGGCCACGCAGGGAAGGUGAACACGGUGCAGUUUAAUGAAGAGGCCACAGUUAUCCUGUCCGGCUCUAUUGAUUCCAGUAUCCGCUGUUGGGAUUGCCGCUCACGGAGGCCUGAGCCAGUGCAGACGCUGGAUGAGGCCAGAGAUGGCGUGUCCAGUGUGAAGGUGUCAGACCACGAGGUCCUGGCAGGCUCUGUGGAUGGCCGCGUGAGACGCUAUGACCUGAGGAUGGGGCAGCUCUUCUCAGACUACGUGGGCAGCCCCAUCACCUGCACCUGCUUCAGCCGGGAUGGGCAGUGCACCCUGGUGUCCAGCCUGGACUCCACAUUGCGGCUCCUGGACAAAGACACAGGGGAGCUGCUGGGCGAGUACAAGGGCCAUAAGAACCAGGAAUACAAGCUGGACUGCUGCCUGAGCGAGCGUGACACACAUGUGGUCAGCUGUUCUGAGGACGGGAAGGUGUUCUUCUGGGACCUGGUGGAGGGUGCGCUGGCUCUGGCCCUGCCUGUGGGUUCCGGUGUGGUGCAGUCGCUGGCCUACCACCCCACAGAGCCCUGCCUGCUGACCGCCAUGGGAGGCAGCGUCCAGUGCUGGCGAGAGGAGGCCUAUGAGGCAGAGGAUGGAGCAGGCUGAAGCCAGGGGACCCACCAACAGGACCAAGGACCGAGACAUAGACAUGGAAGGACUUCAGAUACCAUCUUAUUCUAGAGACGUAGCUGACCAAAAAGUAGGGGAGGGGCUGGGUCUGCAAA
rnacentral:sRNA from 1 species